CGCGGGGUGGAGCUAGUCCUGGUAGCUCGUUGGGCUCAUAACCCAAAGGUCGUUGGUUCAAAUCCAGCCCCCGCAACCA
rnacentral:tRNA from 1 species